rnacentral:rRNA from 3 species
AGAGUUUGAUCAUGGCUCAGAUUGAACGCUGGCGGCAGGCCUAACACAUGCAAGUCGAGCGGUAGCACAGAGAGCUUGCUCUCGGGUGACGAGCGGCGGACGGGUGAGUAAUGUCUGGGAAACUGCCUGAUGGAGGGGGAUAACUACUGGAAACGGUAGCUAAUACCGCAUAACGUCGCAAGACCAAAGUGGGGGACCUUCGGGCCUCAUGCCAUCAGAUGUGCCCAGAUGGGAUUAGCUAGUAGGUGGGGUAACGGCUCACCUAGGCGACGAUCCCUAGCUGGUCUGAGAGGAUGACCAGCCACACUGGAACUGAGACACGGUCCAGACUCCUACGGGAGGCAGCAGUGGGGAAUAUUGCACAAUGGGCGCAAGCCUGAUGCAGCCAUGCCGCGUGUGUGAAGAAGGCCUUCGGGUUGUAAAGCACUUUCAGCGGGGAGGAAGGCGUUAAGGUUAAUAACCUUGGCGAUUGACGUUACCCGCAGAAGAAGCACCGGCUAACUCCGUGCCAGCAGCCGCGGUAAUACGGAGGGUGCAAGCGUUAAUCGGAAUUACUGGGCGUAAAGCGCACGCAGGCGGUCUGUCAAGUCGGAUGUGAAAUCCCCGGGCUCAACCUGGGAACUGCAUUCGAAACUGGCAGGCUAGAGUCUUGUAGAGGGGGGUAGAAUUCCAGGUGUAGCGGUGAAAUGCGUAGAGAUCUGGAGGAAUACCGGUGGCGAAGGCGGCCCCCUGGACAAAGACUGACGCUCAGGUGCGAAAGCGUGGGGAGCAAACAGGAUUAGAUACCCUGGUAGUCCACGCCGUAAACGAUGUCGAUUUGGAGGUUGUGCCCUUGAGGCGUGGCUUCCGGAGCUAACGCGUUAAAUCGACCGCCUGGGGAGUACGGCCGCAAGGUUAAAACUCAAAUGAAUUGACGGGGGCCCGCACAAGCGGUGGAGCAUGUGGUUUAAUUCGAUGCAACGCGAAGAACCUUACCUGGUCUUGACAUCCACAGAACUUAGCAGAGAUGCUUUGGUGCCUUCGGGAACUGUGAGACAGGUGCUGCAUGGCUGUCGUCAGCUCGUGUUGUGAAAUGUUGGGUUAAGUCCCGCAACGAGCGCAACCCUUAUCCUUUGUUGCCAGCGGUUCGGCCGGGAACUCAAAGGAGACUGCCAGUGAUAAACUGGAGGAAGGUGGGGAUGACGUCAAGUCAUCAUGGCCCUUACGACCAGGGCUACACACGUGCUACAAUGGCAUAUACAAAGAGAAGCGACCUCGCGAGAGCAAGCGGACCUCAUAAAGUAUGUCGUAGUCCGGAUUGGAGUCUGCAACUCGACUCCAUGAAGUCGGAAUCGCUAGUAAUCGUAGAUCAGAAUGCUACGGUGAAUACGUUCCCGGGCCUUGUACACACCGCCCGUCACACCAUGGGAGUGGGUUGCAAAAGAAGUAGGUAGCUUAACCUUCGGGAGGGCGCUUACCACUUUGUGAUUCAUGACUGGGGUGAAGUCGUAACAAGGUAACCGUAGGGGAACCUGCGGUUG